rnacentral:misc_RNA from 1 species
UUUCUGUUAGAGAAUGAGGAGGUGAAGGAAGGUGUCCAAGCGUUGUAUUUCCUGCCUCUGACGUGACUCACUAACACAGUACAUAAUCCUAUUUGUUACAUCUUAUGACCUACUGCUGGACAAGGGACAACAACACCGUCAAAUGAAACGAAAUGGGAGAAUCAGGACUUCAUCGUCUCUACUUAGCAAAGUCCCUCAAGGAACUUAACAAUCAAGUCCAUGAAAUUCCCAGAGCUUCACCCAAGUUAUUAGUGAAUACUGCCCAAAGAGUUCUUAAGGAAGCACAGUCUGUAGAUAAAAUUAAAGAUGAAGAGAAAGCCUACAUCCUUUAUAUGAGAUACUUCUCUAUUGUGCUGACAAUACAGAAACAUGCUGAUUAUAAGAAGAAUAAAAAGUACUAUGAUGCCCUUCUGGAUCCUAAGAUGACUGCCAAGGUUAUUAACAGAGCAGAAGAAUUACAAAAGAGUCUUGAUCGCAGAUAUGGAUUUACAAGUGAUGCAAUAAAGGCAGAGAAGUUAGAGCAAGAUAAAAGAGCAUUAGAGAAACUUGAACAAGCUGAAAGAGAAAAACAGGCAAAGAAAGCUGCAGCAAGAGCCAAGACAACCACCAUCACCCCAGCAGUAACCAAUGGUUUGACGGAAGAUGGUGGAUGUAUAUCAUGUGAGAAACUUUACUCCCUGAUGAAGGAAAGGUGCUCCACAUAUAUGAUAUUGGAUGCAAGAUCUAAGGAAGACUUCUCAGAAUCACAGAUGGUCUUACCAAAUAUUAUUAAUGUACCAGAAGAAAUACUAAAUCCAGGUUUAACAGCAGGAAGAAUUGGAAGUGAACUAGAAGAGUCAGCAUGCAGUCUUUGGGUAACACAGCGGCACACUGUAGACUAUCUAAUUCUCGUCGACUGGGAAACGGAAAAGCCGCCACUGCCAUUACCACUCGAGACACUUAUUGAUGCUAUGGUGAAGUGGGACCCAGGAAAGCAGUACAAGAGCCGUCCAUGGGUGCUACAAGGAGGGUAUGACAUGUGGCGGCUCAUGUAUCCCAUGCACACAACUAAUCCCAGAGCAGAGCGUCGUACCUCUGCAACUAUGAAACCCCAAGAGCCAGUGUCACUUAAUUUUGAAUAUCCUGAUUUGGACGAAGCCUUCCUGAUGACUCCGUCCCCAACUUCUCAAAAGCCACAGAUUAGCCAGGCAGACACUCGGACGAUUCCAUCUGUCGUACCGACUGUCAACCGGACAUUGAAACCAACAGUUGUAGAGGAACUUAUGGAUAACAAGAAUAAUAACAACAACAUUUUGGAUAGUUCGAGAGUUUACAACAACACGGUGACACCAGAAGGGAGUCCAAUUAAAGUACCAGUGGACUCUAAGCUCAACACUUGGGAGACUAAGGACUCCAACAAACUUCUCGACCUACAGAAAAUUAAACCAACAGCCAAAGUGGACAACAUGCCAUCAGUACCCAACAGAUCAUUGAAGCCCAGAGAACUGUUAGCAAAUCUAGCAACAAAGAAAGUGGAAAUGGAAGAGGAACAGGAGCUUUUGGAGGAGUCCAUGAAAGUUGAAGAGGAUACUCUUAAGAAAAUUGAAGAAAUGGAAGCCAUGACAACACAGCGGGAAUCGGCACGUGACGAGCAAAGUCGAAUUCAGUUACGAAAGACAGAAGACAGAUUGCAGGAGGAAAUAGACAAGUUACAAGCAAAGAGUUCAGAGAUGGAAGAUCGGUACAACAAGAUCCACAAGCAGAAUGAGGAGCUGUGGAGGAUGGUUAACCAAGUAUUGUCAGGUCAGAUUAGCAACCUGAACCUGAGUUCUGUGCCACAGCCAGACCAUGAUGCUGACACUCAACUCCAGAAAGAAGAACAAGAAAGUCUACGGAAACAAGAAGGGAAAAGGAAAGCUUUGCAAGAACAAGUAGAACGCAUGCGUAAGGAGAGAAAAGAAAAGGAGAUGAAACUGAAAGAGCAGGCAGAGAAAGAAAAAAUAAUAAAUGAACAGAAAGCAAGAGAAGCUGAAAUAGAAAGGCGGAAGCUUGAGGAGCGCAGAUCACGGAUUGAUGGAGAGUCCCGGUCUCAUAAAGCAAAGGGCACGGGUGAGACUUACACAGCCAAGUUACGUGGCUCUCCGAGGUCAUCGCCAGUCCGGGGUGGCUCCAAUCUCAAGCGGUCACAUUCUGCUUUCAAUCUAUCUCAGCUGGAAGAUGAUGACGACAAGACCGGUUUCGGGAGUGUGAUGCCCAACUUUGAUCGAGGUCUUAAACCUUUAGUGGCCCCACAGAGACGGAAUAUCAAUGCUGCUCGUCAGAGGAACUUUGAACCUAAAUAUGGAAGUGUGCCCCUCGCAAAAACUGGAUUAAAAAAUUUGGGAAACACAUGUUAUAUGAACUCCAUCAUACAGUGUCUGAACAAUACCACACCACUCGUCAAAUACUUCAUUGAAGGCACCUACAGUGAUGACAUUAACCCACAAAGCAAAUGUCGUGGGGAAAUAGCAGAGGAAGUAGGGGCAGUGAUCAGGGCCCUGUGGUGUGGACAGUACCGGUCUAUUGCCAUGUGGGACCUUAAGACUGCAGUGGGUCGCUGUCAUAAACCAUUUCAGGGUUAUGAUCAACACGAUUCUCAUGAGUUCCUGAUCAAGUUAAUGGACUGGGUACAUGAAGAUAUAAACAAGGUUAUAGGUAAAAAACCAUCUAUGAAAGAACAGAACCAUGAUGACCUUCCUGACUAUGUUGCUGCAGAAAAAGUUAUGGAAGAACUGAAACGGCGAGAACAGUCCAUUGUAUCUACUCUGUUUCAUGGGCUGCAUCGCUCCAGUAUAGUGUGUGGCACCUGUAGCCACCGCUCACUCACCUUUGAACCAUUUUGUAUACUCUCGCUGUCUUUCCCUUCAUCAAACAGAUGUACACUGAGGGAUUUGCUUCACCAUUACUACAAAGAAUCAAAUAUUGAAUACAAGUGCUCCAAAUGCAAGAAAUUAAGAAACUGUAUACGAAAGCUCGACAUAUGGAAAUUGCCGCCAUUAUUAAUUCUGCAUCUCAAUAGGUUUGAGCAUGAUGUUUUGAUGAAGAAAAAGCAGAACUUUGUUGACUUUCCCCUGGAUAAUUUGGAUCUAACAAAACAUUGUGGCAUUAACAACCGGUAUACAAACUUUGAGCUCUAUGGUGUAUCCAACCAUUAUGGCACCAUGGAUGGAGGUCACUAUACUGCCUUCUGCAAGUCAUCUCUCAACAAAGUGUGGAAUAAGUUUGAUGAUCACGAGGUUUAUGAACUGUCACCAGGCAACGUUAAGUCUUCAGCUGCAUAUUUGUUGUUUUAUGAAGCAACAAAUGUGAAUGUUAAGGUCAACAACUUCAUGUGAGUGCACUUGUCAGCUGGAGUCCACCCGCCCACCACCACACGACCACUCGGUGCACUAAAGUCCCAACUUUUGUUCUAUGGUGAUCACACAUAGGUGUGAUCGUGUAGCUCAAUGAUUAACGGUACCAGGGUGGAGGGUAAGUAAAAGUUACAAAUAUUGCACCAAAAACAAGUACGGAGCUGGAAACUGUCUUCAAACACCAACCAAAACAGAGCGGGGAAACAAAUGCUGGCACCACAAGCCGUGCUGCCAUCUCUUGCCAGUCACUGCUACUGCUGGCUUUCGAGAUCCGCGGCUGUCCCAUGACAAUUCCGUGAUAACCCAGAUCAAUCAGUGAUAAGCGUACACAUGGUCACAAUUGAGAAUACUAUGAUAAACCAGAUCAGCGAUUUUGGGGUCCCGUGAUUAUCGAGGAUACAUGUAGAGCAAAGACAUGUUUGUCAUUGGCCAUUUCCACACAGCAGAUAGUUAAGACAAGCAACUUUUGAAACAUUUUCUUAAUUAUUUUACUUACUGAUAUGCUUUCAAAUUAGAGGACUAUAUGAUAUUAUGUUGUCUGUUUAUGUGUGUUUGUCACCAUCCAUUUAUAUACAGGUAUUCAGUAUUAUCAUUGAGUAUCAUAUGUUUACUUAGACAAUAUUUUUUCCUUAUUUUGUGUAAGUGCAAUUUAAUAGAAACACAUUUCAGCUUCAGUUCUGCAUGUGAUGACAUCUUAAAGCAGCAAGUACAGCACAGUGGAACCUGUGUAAUAUAUGAAACUUCCUUCUAAUGGACCAUAUGAGACGGGCUAGUCAGUCAUAUAUGAAACUUUCUUUAAUGGAUUAUUGUACAGUACUGUAUAUGUAAAAGGUUAGAGCAUUAGAUCGAAGUCCAUUAUAUGAAGGGUUUACUGUAUUGUGGGAAAAUUCAUCUAUUUUGGGAUAAUUACUUUGCAUAAUUGGAACAGUUGUCACAUUCAUGCACAUUGGUGUAAUUAUGUGUAGAUACCUGUAGUAUAAUUUAGCAAGCAAAUACCGUUUUUUUUUAUUCAUUUUUAUUUCUGAUAUUUGGGGGGAAUAGCUACUCAUGUCAUGGCAUCAUAAAGUUUAAUUUAGAACUGUGCUGUUCAGCUUUCAGCAGGGAGAUAUGAAUAUAGUCAUAAUGAAGAGUGAGUAAAUUUGGAUGUGCCUUUAUAUUUAGAAUAUAAAGUGAUAGGGGUUGGGAUAUAAUGGAAGAUAGACAAAAAAAAUAUAAUCUCAAUAUGUACA